UACGUAUGGAGCAAGCGUUAUCCGGAUUUACUGGGUGUAAAGGGAGUGUAGGUGGCAUCACAAGUCAGAAGUGAAAGCCCGGGGCUCAACCCCGGGACUGCUUUUGAAACUAUGGAGCUGGAGUGCAGGAGAGGCAAGUGGAAUUCCUAGUGUAGCGGUGAAAUGCGUAGAUAUUAGGAGGAACACCAGUGGCGAAGGCGGCUUGCUGGACUGUAACUGACACUGAGGCUCGAAAGCGUGGGGAGCAAACAGG
rnacentral:rRNA from 1 species